rnacentral:rRNA from 1 species
GAUGAACGCUGGCGGCGUGCCUAAUACAUGCAAGUCGAGCGAACGGACGAGAAGCUUGCUUCUCUGAUGUUAGCGGCGGACGGGUGAGUAACACGUGGAUAACCUACCUAUAAGACUGGGAUAACUUCGGGAAACCGGAGCUAAUACCGGAUGAUAUUUUGAACCGCAUGGUUCAAAAGUGAAAGACGGUCUUGCUGUCACUUAUAGAUGGAUCCGCGCUGCAUUAGCUAGUUGGUAAGGUAACGGCUUACCAAGGCAACGAUGCAUAGCCGACCUGAGGGGGUGAUCGGCCACACUGGAACUGAGACACGGUCCAGACUCCUACGGGAGGCAGCAGUAGGGAAUCUUCCGCAAUGGGCGAAAGCCUGACGGAGCAACGCCGCGUGAGUGAUGAAGGUCUUCGGAUCGUAAAACUCUGUUAUUAGGGAAGAACAUAUGUGUAAGUAACUGUGCACAUCUUGACGGUACCUAAUCAGAAAGCCACGGCUAACUACGUGCCAGCAGCCGCGGUAAUACGUAGGUGGCAAGCGUUAUCCGGAAUUAUUGGGCGUAAAGCGCGCGUAGGCGGUUUUUUAAGUCUGAUGUGAAAGCCCACGGCUCCACCGUGGAGGGUCAUUGGAAACUGGAAAACUUGAGUGCAGAAGAGGAAAGUGGAAUUCCAUGUGUAGCGGUGAAAUGCGCAGAGAUAUGGAGGAACACCAGUGGCGAAGGCGACUUUCUGGUCUGUAACUGACGCUGAUGUGCGAAAGCGUGGGGAUCAAACAGGAUUAGAUACCCUGGUAGUCCACGCCGUAAACGAUGAGUGCUAAGUGUUAGGGGGUUUCCGCCCCUUAGUGCUGCAGCUAACGCAUUAAGCACUCCGCCUGGGGAGUACGACCGCAAGGUUGAAACUCAAAGGAAUUGACGGGGACCCGCACAAGCGGUGGAGCAUGUGGUUUAAUUCGAAGCAACGCGAAGAACCUUACCAAAUCUUGACAUCCUUUGACAACUCUAGAGAUAGAGCCUUCCCCUUCGGGGGACAAAGUGACAGGUGGUGCAUGGUUGUCGUCAGCUCGUGUCGUGAGAUGUUGGGUUAAGUCCCGCAACGAGCGCAACCCUUAAGCUUAGUUGCCAUCAUUAAGUUGGGCACUCUAAGUUGACUGCCGGUGACAAACCGGGGGAAGGUGGGGAUGACGUCAAAUCAUCAUGCCCCUUAUGAUUUGGGCUACACACGUGCUACAAUGGACAAUACAAAGGGCAGCGAAACCGCGAGGUCAAGCAAAUCCCAUAAAGUUGUUCUCAGUUCGGAUUGUAGUCUGCAACUCGACUACAUGAAGCUGGAAUCGCUAGUAAUCGUAGAUCAGCAUGCUACGGUGAAUACGUUCCCGGGUCU